GACGAACGCUGGCGGCGUGCUUAACACAUGCAAGUCGAACGGGAUUUAGUAGACAGAAGCCUCGGCUAAAGAUUCCUACGGAGAGUGGCGACCGGGUGAGUAACGCGUGGGCAACCUGCCAAUGACAGUGGGAUAGCCUCGGGAAACCGGGAUUAAUACCGCAUCAUAUCGUAGAAACACAUGUUUCAACGGUCAAAGAUUUAUCGGUCAUAGAUGGGCUCGCGUCUGAUUAGCUAGUUGGUGAGAGAACAGCCAGCCAAGGCGACGAUCAGUAGCCGGUCUGAGAGGCUGAACCGUCACAUUGGAAAUGAGACACGGACCAAACUCGUACGGGAGGGAGCAGUGGGGAAUAUUGCACAAGGGAGGAAACCCUGAUGCAGCGACGCCGCGUGAACGAAGUAGGUAUUCGUAACGUAAAGUUCUGUCCUAUGGGAAGAUAAUGACAGUAACAUAGAAGAAAGCACCGGCUAAAUACGUG
rnacentral:rRNA from 1 species